GUGGAGCCCAACACACAGGGCUGUGGGGAGCAAGUCGGCAGGGAAAGGCCAGAAAAUACUACACGGCAUCCUCAUUUCCACCUCCAUCUCAGCUCCGGGGCAUCAGCCCGACUACCACUGACAGCCUGCAGCAGCUGGAGGAGAAAGGCAGCUCGGACAGCAUCGCAGAGCCCGUUAAAAACUGAAACACACACAGAUCCUCCGAAUUGGCCAGGAACAAAGCAGUAGCGAGGAAAGUCCCCCUCCCUCCAUCCCUCCAUCGUCCUACAAUUCUCCAUCCCUCC